GUAGGUGGCAAGCGUUGUCCGGAAUUAUUGGGCGUAAAGCGCGCGCAGGCGGUUCUUUAAGUCUGAUGUGAAAGCCCACGGCUCAACCGUGGAGGGUCAUUGGAAACUGGAGAACUUGAGUACAGAAGAGGAAAGCGGAAUUCCACGUGUAGCGGUGAAAUGCGUAGAGAUGUGGAGGAACACCAGUGGCGAAGGCGGCUUUCUGGUCUGUAACUGACGCUGAGGCGCGAAAGCGUGGGGGAGCAAACAGGAUUAGAUACCCUGGUAGUCCACGCCGUAAACGAUGAGUGCUAAGUGUUAGGGGGUUUCCGCCCCUUAGUGCUGCAGCUAACCGCAUUAAGCACUCCGCCUGGGAGUACGGCCGCAAGGCUG
rnacentral:rRNA from 1 species